rfam:Gossypium hirsutum cultivar TM-1 chromosome 16, whole genome shotgun sequence
AACCCAUGGCGAGGGCACCUUCCCAAAAGGUCCUUGUAUCUCUUCUAUGCAUCGUAGAGUGUUUCAAAAUCCAUCUGCACAAAAGAAGAGAUACCAUUACGUAAUUU